UCAAUCUAAAUCCUAUUGGAUACAAUGAAUCUACAUGGAAUUUCCAAUAUCCAUUAAGAUUUUCUUAGAAGUACAAAAAUCAUAAAGUCAUUGUCAACCUGCAUUGACUUUACCAUAUCCAAAAAAUCCCACCUACAAAUAUUGCGUGCUAGAGGAGGUUUGUGCACCCCUCCCCUAUAAAUAUUGCUUGCUAGAGGAGGUUUGUGCACUUGUCCUACAAAGAUAUUUAAUUUUCAUGACUAAAGGAGAUGACUUUCAAUAUAGCUUUCUUGCUAGUUUUCUCCACUAUUGCUUCCGGUUUACUAUUUAAGGGAAUCCCAAAAGCCGAUGCAAGGGGGGAUUUCCGAUGUCCGAGGAUGAUCGAUUGUAGUAAAGUGUGUCAAGGAUUUCCUUAUAAAUGUGUGGAUGGCAAAUGCAUAUGUGGGGAAUCAAAGGAAACCCAAGUUUUCAACUCUGCCUCUCAACUUGAAGCAAGGGUUCAACCAGAGGAAUCAUGUGCCAGUACUAAGGACUGUAAUGUCAUUUGUCCUCACUCAACCAAAUGUGCUAAUGGCCAAUGUGUAUGCGAGAAAACAUGGAUUUCACCCCCUUGAUGGUGAUUUUGAAAACAUGAAGAAAUGUCCUUGAAAAGGAGUUUCUAGAGAAAGCUAUUUCUCUUAUAAUAAAAGAGUGGCAUUUGUAUUUUGGAUA